AACGAACGCUGGCGGCAUGCCUAACACAUGCAAGUCGAACGAGACCUUCGGGUCUAGUGGCGCACGGGUGCGUAACGCGUGGGAACCUGCCCUUAGGUUCGGAAUAACACUUGGAAACGGGUGCUAAUACCGGAUAAUGUCUUCGGACCAAAGAUUUAUCGCCCUUGGAUGAGCCCGCGUUGGAUUAGCUAGUUGGUAGGGUAAAAGCCUACCAAGGCGACGAUCCUUAGCUGGUCUGAGAGGAUGAUCAGCCACACUGGGACUGAGACACGGCCCAGACUCCUACGGGAGGCAGCAGUGGGGAAUAUUGGACAAUGGGCGAAAGCCUGAUCCAGCAAUGCCGCGUGAGUGAUGAAGGCCUUAGGGUUGUAAAGCUCUUUUACCCGGGAUGAUAAUGACAGUACCGGGAGAAUAAGCUCCGGCUAACUCCGUG
rnacentral:rRNA from 1 species